GAAACCCCAAAAAAUCCAAUCCAGAGACCUACUUUCUAUAAAAUUCAAAAGAAGGAAUGGAAAGCUACAACUUCAAAGGAUAAAUGAAAGAAUUAUCUAUAUCAGUGGAGUCUAUCCGGGUCAUUCGUUUAGAAAAAUGUACAAAAAACCUACAAAAUCGGAAAUGAAUGUGCAGGACACCCAUACAUCCAUACGCGCAUGGGAAGGAGGUCGCAAGGAUACGCCAGUUAGCUGACUUCUUGUCGGAAUUCCAAUGCAACAUAAACACCAAAGAACAGAGAGAAAAUAUUAGAAAAGCUUCAACCCACCCAAAUUGUUUGCUUAGAAGACCACACAAACUUUGAACGAAACGAUACAAGAAAUCCUAAGCUUGCCGCGAAAAAAUCAAGGAACUUAUACCGACGACGCAACGAAAGGCAAACCAUAAAAAGUGGACCCUGUUGGCCACGGACAUAUUCA